UGAAGCUCGUGAACGCACUGGAAGUCUUUAUCAGUUCCGAGCAGUAUUCGGACAUUGGCGGGUUGGACAGGCAAAUCCAGAAAUUGAUUGAGGCCGUCGUGCUGCCGACGACGCAAAAGGACAAGUUCAAGAACCUGAGAAUUCAUCCACCGAAGUCGACCUACCUGAAGCUGGCCGGCCAGUAGCUGGUGCAGAUGUUCAUCGGAGACGGUGCCAAGCUCGUCUGGGGCGCGUCCGCACUGACCAAGGAAAAGUCGCCGGUGGUUUAAUUUCUUUUUAUUUGUGAAAUCAGUUUUUUUGUAUUGUUAGAUAUGAUGAAAAAAAAACGAUAUUGACCGCCCCUCC